rnacentral:rRNA from 1 species
UCCCAGACUCCUACGGGAGGCAGCAGUGGGGAAUAUUGGGCAAUGGGCGCAAGCCUGACCCAGCAACGCCGCGUGAAGGAAGAAGGCCCUCGGGUUGUAAACUUCUUUUAACAGGGACGAAGAAAGUGACGGUACCUGUUGAAUAAGCCACGGCUAACUACGUGCCAGCAGCCGCGGUAAUACGUAGGUGGCAAGCGUUAUCCGGAUUUACUGGGUGUAAAGGGCGUGUAGGCGGGAGAGCAAGUCAGACGUGAAAUUCCAGGGCUCAACCCUGGAACUGCGUUUGAAACUGUUCUUCUUGAGUGAUGGAGAGGCAGGCGGAAUUCCGUGUGUAGCGGUGAAAUGCGUAGAUAUACGGAGGAACACCAGUGGCGAAGGCGGCCUGCUGGACAGAAACUGACGUUGAGGCUCGAAAGCGUGGGGAGCAAACAGGAUUAGAUACCCGCGUA